rnacentral:rRNA from 1 species
ACGGAGGGUGCAAGCGUUAAUCGGAAUUACUGGGCGUAAAGCGUGCGUAGGUGGUUUGUUAAGUCAGAUGUGAAAGCCCUGGGCUCAACCUAGGAACUGCAUUUGAAACUGGCAAACUAGAGUAUAGGAGAGGAAAGUGGAAUUUCUGGUGUAGCGGUGAAAUGCGUAGAUAUCAGAAGGAACAUCAAUGGCGAAGGCAGCUUUCUGGACUAAUACUGACACUGAGGUACGAAAGCGUGGGUAGCAAACAGGAUUAGAUACCCUGGUAGUCCACGCCGUAAACGAUGAUAACUAGCCGUUGGGGGGAUCUUACCCUUUAGUGGCCAAGCUAACGCGUUAAGUUAUCCGCCUGGGGAGUACGGCCGCAAGGUUA